GUAGCUAACUGAAGACAGAGACCUCUACUCUCUCAAGCACUCCAGAAGGAAUUAUAGAGAUUUAUCUGUGUCUCUCAGUGGGAAAUGAGGCAGAAGACUAGGGCAUGACAACAUGGUUGUCAACUGGCACGACCAGCCAGUUGAAGAGACUUGUUACCAUGGGCAGAGCAGCAGCUCCCGAGCCUGACACAAGAUCAAGCCAAGCCAAGCACCUGGUGCCAAUCUUCUGACAUAAGAACAUGCUGAACCUGACACCUAAUAUCAAUCUUCUGACAAGCUGAGCCUCGCACCUGAUCCCAAUCUUCCAGCACAGGAUUGAGUGGACCACCUGCAUCAACUACUGAAGACAUAAAAAGAUGGCAGCAAAUGACUUUGCACUACUGGAGUAUAGUUAUUGCAGUUCUGUUCUGUUGCAGGACAUAUCUUCUCUUUUUUCCUUCCAAGCAACCUUUUCUCCUUGAGGACUUCUUUUGUGCUUCUUUUCCUUUUCUUCUUCUUUGUGCCUUAAAUAAAUGUUAAUCUUUCACAUUCACAAACUGGUCUGUCCAAUUCAUUGAGCGAGACAAUAAGAGCCUGGAAAGCAUUGCUGGUCUCUGCGCCACUAAGUAACAAUAGGAAGGGCAUCUUUCUUGCCCAGAGAUCAAGGGAGAAGAGGACCCGGGCUCAGUGGAGCCCACUUCCAAGAAUUGGCCCAUUCCCAGCCCUCACAGACCUGCCUUUAGGACCCAGCCCUUAGGACCUGCGCACACCUCUCCCCACCCUACUGUGCUCCACACUCAGGCCCUGGGCUCCCACUCGACCAAAGACUGCAAGUGUAAAGUGCCCAAAGCACAGUCACUGAUGAUUCAGCAUGACACAUGCCCUUCACUGGCACAGUUGCUAUUUUUGACAUUUGUUUACCUUGGAAAGAAACGACAGAAGUAGAAGAGGAAAACACGGCCGAAUGGUGAUUUACACACAGCAGAGUCCCCAAGGGCACCUGAGGCGAUCACACGGUAUAAGGUGCAGUGAAAAGAGGUACACUACCUAUACCUCUGCACCCUGUUCAACACUCUCGUCUAACCUGGAUACACUUCCUCCGAUUGAAUGAUCACCUGGCAGACGUUUUUUAAGGUUUGUCUUGGGACCAGACAUAAGGUGGCUCAACAUCAGACCCUUGCCGUGAACAGCUCACGAUCCCAACCACUGGCAAAUUACUGCUUUGGUUGCAAUGGAUGGUCCAAAAGGGUAAUUGAGCUGUGCCUCAUCCUGACACUGGGAGCGCUAGAUGGAACCAACUUGUGGCUGCUCUGAGUCCUGGGCUCAGGUGACCCCUUUCCAAAAUGGUGACUGGUCAGUCUCUUGGGGACUGUCUCUUGGGG
rnacentral:lncRNA from 1 species